CGUCACACUAGAAUAAUAAAGAGCGAGUGGAGCAACCAACUUUAAAAAAUGUCAACGAACAACAGAAUAAAGUUGGUUAAACUUUACUUUAAACGAAAUUUAAAUUGAAUAUCACUUUGAGUGCGUACCGAGAAAGUCUGAGUUACUGAAUCUACGACGUGUGAACCAUGUAUCUUCCAGUAGAAUGACUCUUCAAAACGAUAGCUUUUAAAGCACCACAAAGCUGUUGUACAGUCCUGUAGAAAGCAACUUCAACCUCGAUUUCCAUGCAAAUAAAAUGCGUAAUGAUAGAAUGUCACGCAUUUCGAAAACAUUUUAUUACAAGGACACCGUUUCUACCGCGUAUUGUAAAAGCAAUCAAUAGAUUGCAGUUAACCUUUCAGUUUUCAACAAAACCUAUGUGUAUAUGUUAAACGGCCCAUAUCUUUACAAUCUGUGUUUGCGAGUGUAGGACUCAUUAUGCAGCGUUCUUAAACUAAAUGUGUUUUUUUAGAAAGUGGCUUUUAUGCGCAAGUGAUUCUCUUUGUGUGUGUGUUUUUUUGCUCUUUUAAGGUGAAACGUGACACCUCAUUCGGCGGGAGAAUACGAGACCGUUUAAUACCCUAUUACAAUUCAUACGCGCAUAACGAGAAAAGAAGCCCCCAAAAACAGUCCAAUGAUUUACCGCAUUUAAAUUGCGUGCAAAAAUCCAUUUGGCUGUUUGCCGAAGCGUGAUUGCUCCGACAGGAUGAAUCCACUUGAACGCACAUGUGCAUUUUUAGCACGCUGUUCAAGGAAAAAGAAAAAGAUGAGUAAGAAGAGAGAAAGUAUGUUUUGUUGAUUGAGAAAAACAAAAAUUCUAAGGAAGUCUGGAUGGGAAAACCUGUCAUGGUUGUAUGGCAAUGUCUCAAUAAGGUAAUCAGCCAUAUUUGGGGAGGUGGAUAUAGUUUUUGCUUUUCCGGUUAAACAUUAUUAUUUUUUAAAUCGUCGGUUAUCCCGUUUUGUCCGAAAAUGUAUAAGAAACCUCGUUCUGCAUAUGCAAAUUCGAUUGAGAUUGGCUCCGUGAUGAGUCGUCUGGUCUGUCUGCUGACAAACGUAAAAUAUGAUCCGCGGAUUAAAUGGCGACAGGGCCGAAUAAAAGCCUCCAUUUAUAGACACUACCGCUGGUACACGUAAACUUAAAAAAAAAACAAAAAUAAAAUGUAUGGAUUGAGUUGAUAUCAUCAAAGCGAGAGAAUAAUGCGAGUCUCGUAUAUUUUCUUUUAAAUAGCCUCUCAAAAAAUGAUGAUGAUCAAGGUUGCAAUGUAUUAUACCGUCUUUCUUUGGCCAUACAUCUAUACGUAAGACUAAAUCCUUUGUCGGCCAUCGUGAAGCCCUCGAGUCAUGUGUGCGUAUGCGGACCUUUUUCAUACAUUUAUACACGUCCUAGCGAUCUCGCAAGAGUUUCGAAGAAGAAGAAGAAAAGAGAUACACAAUUUGUUGUUUUUUGCUAACCAUAAAUUCGACUUUUUUCUUCUUUUUCAAAUGACUCUAACCGAAAAUUCCCACGGCUAGUAGCGAUGCAUAGAGUAGUUGUUAAAUAAUAAGAGCAGCUUGCCACUUGCUGGAAAACUAGUAAAUAAAAUAGCCCGAAGCCAAUUGAUUCAGUCCAACCAGCGGAGGGAAUUGCGGAUAUUAUCAGGCCAGUAGAUUCGUGUUGUCGCCGACCUUAUUACGUACUUGUUUCUGUUUUUUUUUCUUCUUUUUAUUACUAUAUUAUAAAGCCACACAUUUUUUUUUGCCCUUGAAAUAAUUACGAGCUGCGAUUUAGCGCGGAACUUGGACCGGCUCUAAUUCCGACAGUUUUUUUCUCGUUAAUGAACUUGCUGUAAUAUGAAAAACGCAAAGGGGGGUCUCGUAUAUACAACAACUGACGAUUCCAAACGGAAUAACCAAAACGGACUGCGUUAAAUGUAAGGAAAAGUUUUUCUUUAUUGUUCAUACUGCAAACACUUUGUUGGCCUUAAAUAAGGUCACGAAUAUCCGUUUUUUUUUCUUCUUUUAAUUAUAAUUUUUCCCGUUAAAAUUCUUAAUUAAAGGGGGGAAAAAAUUAAGAAAUAAAUAGAUCGUAACCAAAUAGAUUGUAUUUUUUAAUUUGUUGUUGUUGUUUUGAAGGGGGGGAACAUUACACCCCGAGUAUGUAAUCAAAAUAAAUGCCAGAUGGGUCAUACGUGUGCGUAUACAACACACGGGGGGGGAGAACGAAAAUCAUCUAAUCCUAGACAUUUAGUCAUUAAGCUUACACAAAAUGUUAAUCAUUUGUUUUCGUACAAUGAAGGUUAAUAAUUUUAUUAAAGUACGAUGGUUUCUUUAAACCAUUCAUUUUUUUUUUUUUUUAAUUUUAAUUUUGUUUUUUUUCACCUAUUAUUAUAAUCGCUAAGAAUUUUGGGGGAAAGUUGCAAAUAGAGGAAGACUGACAAAAGCUCUUCCGCCGGAUGCGCCCGCGAGAUUAUAAAACCGUGACUAUUUACGAGAGAUAGAAAAAAAAAAAAAGAGGGGAUAAUAUUUACAAGUCUUGUUUUCGUUGAUAGCUGUGAUUAGGAUAUGUUAAAGUAAAAACACACAGCAGUAUUUCGACUAUAUUAUUUUUGCAUAGGGCCCUACUAAAGGGUGAAAAACAAAACAAAAAAAAAACAGCCCUAAUCAAAAUGUGUUGGUCAAUUUUUCACGAUUAUUUUGGCAACUUGAUCGACAUGGUUUAGGGCCUUAUAUUUUCCAAUUAAAGAAAUUACCGCAACUGUUUGUGUGUUUGAUCCUAGCGUUUUUUUUGUAGUACUCAAAGAAGACUCGACAAAGAAAAUUGUGUUUGGUUAUUUCGGAAGGAGGAAGUUAAAUGAACCCAUGGGGGAAAAAGAAGAAAAAAAAAUGAAAUUCUUUUGUACAAAAAAAAGAAAAUGUUUCUUCUUUUAGUAACGUCCGUGAUUGGUGUUGUUGCUGUGAUGAUGGUAGCGUUGUUGGUGCGGUUGACCAUCGCCACCGCUGUAAGAAUCGCUCUCAUCAGCAUAGGGAUACUGUUCCUCUUCGGGUAUGGGAGUUUUGACGGUCGUUUCGUGAACACGGCCGUGAGAUUCGGGCAGGUAAAUGGUCUUGCGCCUUAACAUUAAAUCAAUUAAGCACAUAAGGUGAUAUUUUUAGAACAUGAAAGUAGCUUCUUCUUUUUUUUUUUAAUACCAGUGGUGCGUCCAAUAGAGUUCGCUGUUGGGCGGUAGAGGAGCGUCAGGUGAUCCUUCACGACACAUCCAAGCGCAAAAGACAAGGCCGAUGAUCAGGCUGACGAAGCCAAACACCAACAUAAACACUCCCAAAUACCUACAAUGUAAGAAAAUAAAGUGAUGAAGAAAAAAAUCGUUCGAUAAUGACUCCCACCAAUAAUCAUUAGGGCAGAGUCAAGGCGCAAGUUUAAUGUUUACAGGUCAAAGAAAUUUAAGCGUUUUUUUUUUAUGGUUCCCUUCACACAAAACUCGUAAAAAUAUUUACGUUUAAACUGCUUGAUUGCUCAUCUUAUCGGUGUUUUACAAUCUCUGCCUUUUCCCUUUAAAAAACAAAAACCUUUCCAACUUGAUUGGAAAGAACCACGAAAUGGCCAUUAAAAAAAAUGUUUUUUUCUAAAAGUUUCACAAUUUUUUUUUAGCUGCGACAUUUUACGAAGGUCGCAUUUGGUAAAGAAAAUGAUUGCGAUAAAUACCAAACGAAGGGCGGAUCGUUGAGCUGCAGGACGAUAACGAAACCGAGACAGACGAGCAAAAGGCCAAGGUUGAACAGUAACAUAAGGCAGCAACAACUGCGAGUAUUGGGGCACAUUGGGUGUGGCGCCCUGGACGACUCGAUCACGAUGCCACCCCGUUUGGACGUCUUGGAACGAAGAGUAGCAUCCUCUGUGUAGGGCGGGGCCGUCCUGUACGUCCUGUACGAUCCCUGACUGUGUUUUCCAGGUCAUUAAAAUACGUGACAUGAAUUGGGGUGAAUAAAAAGAAAAUAGAAUUGGGAAUGGCGCUGUUCAGACCUGAGUUCCGAGGUAGGCAUCCGAGUGAGGAAUUCCGGUUGUGGGAUGUAGAUCUCGGGCACUUCGUGAUCAAUAGACGUGGUCGAUCUAUUGUUCUCAUCGUGCUGGCCGUAACGAUAGCGCUCUUCCCGACGUUCUUCGUCCAUCGACAGGGAACCACUUCCCAGACUGGGCGAUCUGCCAAACAGCAAAAAGAAGAACAUUUGUUUCGAUUUUCUUGUUGAUGUUUCCAUAUAUUUUUUUUUGUUUUUUGCUUUUAAUAACACGUUCUUCUCUUCUUGUUUUUCUUUGUUGAUACAAGAGUUCAAUAGCCCUUGAUGGAACAAAGAAAAUAAGUGUUUUUUCGUAGGGGAAUAAAAAAAGAUGGACUGCCCUGAGGGCCACUGGACAGACACACUAAGAGUCGGCGACCGCAAGUUUCCGACUGUCCGUUAGCCCUUCUGUUCCAGCACGUAUUUUUUUUUUUGUUUACUAUUAAAAUUUAUUUUUUUCAAGUGGCGUGCGAAACAGUUGACCACACACACUCCCUAGAUUCCCAUCUAUUAAUUGAGAAUACGUUGAACCUGUCGUAAAUUUUGCCUGUCCUUCCCUAACAUGUGAGUUUCCUGUAUCCGAUCGACACACAACAUUUUUCUUCUUCAGUUCCCAUCCGCUUUUUUUUUUCGGGUGUUAGUUCUGGUCUUCAGAAGAAAAAGAAGAAAACAAAACAAGACAACAAACACGAAACAAGCUCAUCUCCGGGUUCAACGCUUUGUGUUCCAGCGGCUGGUUUGUUUGGUAAUGAGAAUCUAGUAGCCCCCAAAACAGCGUCUAAAAAAAAUUGUCUUGUCCUCUUAUAUUCAUUUGUCUUUUUUUUUUCUUUUUCAGUUAUGCACGUUAUAAAAGAGAAAGGUAAGAUAUGCCGCGGGGGCCGGCAUUGCGCAAAAAUGAAAUGAUGUCGCCGCAGUCACAAACGACAUUUCUAAACCCCUGUUGUCGUUCUUCCCGAAGAGCAAAGAAUUUGUAUUAUGUGUGACCCCGGCCCUCCCUCCUCUUAACUGAGUGUGUGUGUGUGUGUAUAACUCGUCCGUGUGUUGACUUUAUAACGGUUUCUUUUGGGGUCUGUUUUCCCAAGUGAAAUUUGGAUUGAAAUAAUAAGAAGACGUGCAUGAUUUUUCGCCGACCUUAAUUUCUGUUGUUUUUUUGUUUUUUUUUCGUAAAUUCUAGUUGACCUUAAUUGAAGAACAAACGCGAGCUUCGUGGUAAUAAUGUAUAGGGGGUGGCAUGAAUAUAUAGUACCUCUGAUAAGUCUGGAUGGCGUCAUUGGCCACCAAGAAAUCUGGAUUGCUGCGCUCGCCUCCGCUGCGAUCUGAAAGCUCGCGCGACGAGAUUUGAUGAUGUCGAUGGAUGUGAUGCGGCUGAUGGAUGAAACUCUCCUCGUCCGUGCUGGAAAAUCCGGGGUUCGUUUGAGCCAUCAUCAUCCUAGUUGUCCCGUCGAAUGCGAGAUGACUUUCGGCGCUGCUGUCGCUUGUGGUUGCCGUGUCUUUGACACCGGCCCGGACACCCCUUCCGGCUCGACCGCUUUUGCUCCGUUCCGGCCGCUGGGGAUAAAGAGUCGACUCAUCGGCCGAACCUUCUGUUCCUCCUCCACCUCUUUGGAUGGUGUAAUCUCGAUACGCCGACUCGUAACGGUUCAUUUCUUAAUCUUUUCUGUCUGCCCUGUAGCGAAAUAAAUUCAAAUGAAUAGCUGAA